rnacentral:sRNA from 1 species
AUUGAAGUAUUUUAGGUUGCCAAUCCAAAUGGGUGUGAUGCUAGCAAUCAAGAUGCAAUAAGAGUUCACAGAGUCAAGGCAAGCAAUAAUAGGUUUUGGGGUGUUCUAGCAGUCCUAAGUGAACAUGCAGGAAACAUGAAUUCAAGUAGAACAGUAAAAACACUCAACCAACACAGCUUGUUACCAAGCACUAGGUGUUGUCGAGUGACAGGUCGAGUAACAGACAGAAAAUGUAACAGGGAUACUCGACUGCACAGUCUGUUGCCAGACAACUGGGUGGUCGAGUAUCAGGUCGAGUAACAGGAGAGAAAUGCAAACACUAACCAAGGUAACAAGAUGCAGUAAUCAACAGCAGAGUAAACAAAGAAAUCUAUCAGAUAAAGAAUUCCCAAGGAUGGGGUAAUUGAGUAGUUUUCUUUCCUCAGUUUACAGGUGAUUGACAUGCUCAAUAAAUUAUCCAUAGACAACAAGUUCGAUAACCAAAUCUAAGUGCCACCGCAACAGAGACCCUCAAGUUAAACUAGUCCCAGACUCAAUCACCAUUGACGAGAGCUAACCUAACAGGCAUUACAAAUCAACAAGUAAAGCCAAAAUGCUCCCUGAAACCAAUACCUUGGUACAGAGCCACGAAUUUGGGAAUUUGUGGUUCAAACAUUUCAUCGAACACCUUUUGGGCGCGGAAAUGAGCAAGAUACUUGGAUUAACAAGAGUGGUUAAAAUGAAUAAGAAAAUCCAAGUAUUUUAGGGCAGCCAUGAGUUCAAAUUUGAUGCAGACAUAAUAAUUAAAAA